rnacentral:rRNA from 1 species
AAGGGUUAGUAAUACAUAGAUAAUCUGUCCUCAACUUGGGAAUAACGGUUGGAAACGACCGCUAAUACCGAAUGUGGUAUGUUUAGGCAUCUAAAACAUAUUAAAGAAGGGGAUCUUCGGACCUUUCGGUUGAGGGAGAGUCUAUGGGAUAUCAGCUUGUUGGUGGGGUAAUGGCCUACCAAGGCUUUGACGUCUAGGCGGAUUGAGAGAUUGACCGCCAACACUGGGACUGAGACACUGCCCAGACUUCUACGGAAGGCUGCAGUCGAGAAUCUUUCGCAAUGGACGAAAGUCUGACGAAGCGACGCCGCGUGUGUGAUGAAGGCUCUAGGGUUGUAAAGCACUUUCGCUUGGGAAUAAGAGAGAUUGGCUAAUAUCCAAUCGAUUUGAGCGUACCAGGUAAAGAAGCACCGGCUAACUCCGUGCCAGCAGCUGCGGUAAUACGGAGGGUGCUAGCGUUAAUCGGAUUUAUUGGGCGUAAAGGGCGUGUAGGCGGAAAGGAAAGUUAGAUGUUAAAUCUUGGGGCUCAACCCCAAGCCAGCAUCUAAUACUAUCUUUCUAGAGGGUGGAUGGAGAAAAGGGAAUUCCACGUGUAGCGGUGAAAUGCGUAGAUAUGUGGAAGAACACCAGUGGCGAAGGCGCUUUUCUAAUUUACACCUGACGCUAAGGCGCGAAAGCAAGGGGAGCAAACAGGAUUAGAUACCCUGGUAGUCCUUGCCGUAAACGAUGCAUACUUGAUGUGGAUAGUCUCAACCCUAUCCGUGUCGUAGCUAACGCGUUAAGUAUGCCGCCUGAGGAGUACACUCGCAAGGGUGAAACUCAAAAGAAUUGACGGGGGCCCGCACAAGCAGUGGAGCAUGUGGUUUAAUUCGAUGCAACGCGAAGAACCUUACCUGGGCUUGACAUGUAUUUGACCGCGGCAGAAAUGUCGUUUUCCGCAAGGACAGAUACACAGGUGCUGCAUGGCUGUCGUCAGCUCGUGCCGUGAGGUGUUGGGUUAAGUCCCGCAACGAGCGCAACCCUUAUCGUUAGUUGCCAGCACUUAGGGUGGGAACUCUAACGAGACUGCCUGGGUUAACCAGGAGGAAGGCGAGGAUGACGUCAAGUCAGCAUGGCCCUUAUGCCCAGGGCUACACACGUGCUACAAUGGCCAGUACAGAAGGUAGCAAUAUCGUGAGAUGGAGCAAAUCCUCAAAGCUGGCCCCAGUUCGGAUUGUAGUCUGCAACUCGACUACAUGAAGUCGGAAUUGCUAGUAAUGGCGUGUCAGCUAUAACGCCGUGAAUACGUUCCCGGGCCUUGUACACACCGCCCGUCACAUCAUGGGAGUUGGUUUUGCCUUAAGUCGUUGACUCAAC